rnacentral:rRNA from 1 species
GAUGAACGCUGGCGGCGUGCCUAAUACAUGCAAGUCGAGCGAACAGACGAGGAGCUUGCUCCUCUGACGUUAGCGGCGGACGGGCGAGUAACACGUGGAUAACCUACCUAUAAGACUGGGAUAACUUCGGGAAACCGGAGCUAAUACCGGAUAAUAUAUUGAACCGCAUGGUUCAAUAGUGAAAGACGGUUUUGCUGUCACUUAUAGAUGGAUCCGCGCCGCAUUAGCUAGUUGGUAAGGUAACGGCUUACCAAGGCAACGAUGCGUAGCCGACCUGAGAGGGUGCUCGGCCACGCUGGAACUGAGCCACGUUCCAGACUCCUACGGGAGGCAGCAGGAGGGAAUCUUCCGCAGUGGGCGAAAGCCUGACGGAGCAACGCCGCGUGAGUUAUGAAGGUCUUCGGAUCGUGAAACCCUGUUAUCUGGGGAGAACAUAUGCAUAGUUAACGAUACACUUCUGGACGGUACCAUAGCAGAAACCCCCGCCUAACUACGUG